rnacentral:rRNA from 1 species
GACGAACGCUGGCGGCGCGCCUAACACAUGCAAGUCGAGCGAUAACCAGUCCCUUCGGACGUGGGGACGAGCGGCGAACGGGUGAGUAACACGUGGGUAAUCUACCCUCGGUUUCGGGAUAGGCCCGGGGAAACCCGGAUUAAGUACCGAAUGGCCUCUCAGGCUCUCGGGCUUGAGAGAAAGGUAGCUUCGGCCUCUGACCGAGGAUGAGCCCGCGGCCGAUUAGCUAGUUGGUGGGGUAAUGGCCCACCAAGGCGACGAUCGGUAGCUGGUCUGAGAGGACGAUCAGCCACACUGGGACUGAGACACGGCCCAGACUCCUACGGGAGGCAGCAGUGGGGAAUCUUGCGCAAUGGGCGAAAGCCUGACGCAGCGACGCCGCGUGC